rnacentral:rRNA from 1 species
GUCCACGCCGUAAACGAUGCUAACUCGUUUUUGGAUUUUCGGAUUCAGAGACCAAGCGAAAGUGAUAAGUUAGCCACCUGGGGAGUACGUCCGCAAGGAUGAAACUCAAAGGAAUUGACGGGGCCCGCACAAGCGGUGGAUUAUGUGGUUUAAUUCGAUGAUACGCGAGGAACCUUACCAAGACUUAAAUGGGAAAUGACAGGUUUAGAAAUAGACCCUUCUUCGGACAUUUUUCAAGGUGCUGCAUGGUUGUCGU